rnacentral:rRNA from 2 species
AGAUUAAACUGAAGAGUUUGAUCAUGGCUCAGAUUGAACGCUGGCGGCAGGCUUAACACAUGCAAGUCGAGCGGUAACAGAUCUAGCUUGCUAGAUGCUGACGAGCGGCGGACGGGUGAGUAACGCGUAGGAACCUGCCCAGUAGUGGGGGAUAGCCCGGUGAAAACCGGAUUAAUACCGCAUACGCUCUACGGAGGAAAGGGGGCUUCGGCUCUCGCUAUUGGAUGGGCC